AACUCUGUCCCCUUCUCCACAAUAAUUAUAAGAUUGUGACUGCCUACAUUAUUUGAAGCGUGAAGAUUUUAUUAUUUCUAGCGUGACGGAUACAAACGUUUAAGUGAGAGAGAUUUUCCUACAUUAUUUGAAGCGUGAAGAUUUUGUUAUUUGAAGCGUGAAGAUUUUAUUAUUUGAAGCGUGAAGUUUUUAUUAUUUGAAGCGUGAAGUUUUUAUUAUUUCAAGUGUGACGGAAAUCAAGCGUCGAUGCGAGAGAGAUCGUCUCCUGAAAAGGCCAUGUGCGCUGUUCAGCCUGUUGCAAAUAUGAAUGUAAUUGUAAACAAAAUGAAAGACAGAAAAUCCAGCUAUAGGCUUUUUAAAAGCGAUUUUGUAUGUCUAUCUGCCACUGAUUGAAAGAAAAUUCAAGAUAGAAAAUGAAUCAGCUGAACAAUUAAUUCUGUCUGAAAGUGGUGCAAGAGAUACCUGAUGUUUCAUUUCAAAAUGAAGAAUUUGAUGGGUUUGGGAACCAUCAAUUUGAUGUCGAGAGUUUCAACUUAUCCGUGGUAGAAUUUUAGCUUAUAUCAUAAAUUCAGACCUAUGGACCAAAAAAAUACAAGGUGAAGAUAAGUAAGGAAAACACAGCCUUGAUAAAUUUCAGAGAAUUCUUGAUGAAAGAGUAUGCAGACCUGGACCAAAAAUUUGCAAUAUGAAUAAUUUUGAAGAAAGAACAAUCUUGGCAAAUUUCAGAGAAUUCUAAACGGAAGAGUGCAAGUGUUGUUACUUGAACAAUAUGUACAUGAAAGUGUCCUUUGACAACAUCUGACAUUGGAUUUGUAGUGAUGCAUUUAAUGAACUGGGAUCUGAAUGAGUUAACAAACUUGAAUUUUGGCAUUUACAUUGAUUGCAUAUAUAAAAAUAUUCAAUGUAUAACGACCAUAUUUUGUACCAAAGUAAUGAAUGGUCCAAUAUUGUAUCAUGGUAGCAAUUUGACAUGAUUUGAAGAUAUUAUUAAAUAAAAAUGCUUCAUUGCAGGAAUUAUUGUCCAAUUAAUUGCAUCUUGAAUUCAACAUUGAAGUAUAUGGGCAGCACAUGUUUUUGUUUAAGAUAUUGUAAAUUAUAAUCUGAAUCCAAAACAAAUCUCUUGGUGAAAAUAUGCAUAAACUCUCUCUUUAUUAUACUAUGAAAUGAAAUGAAACAUAUACCACAUAUAUUUUGACAAAUUAAAAACAUUUUUUUAAAUCAAAGUUAGAAAAUUCUUCAAAAUCUCUAAAGGAGAAAAAAGACCAGCUUCUAAUAUCAUAUGUUUUAG